AGAAUUGAUCUGGUCAGGAUGAACGCUGGCGGCGUGCUUAACACAUGCAAGUCGAACGAAGCAACUUAUUACGAUCCCUUCGGGGUGGCGAUUGUUGACUGAGUGGCGGACGGGUGAGUAACGCGUGGGUAACCUACCUUGUACAGGGGGACAACAGUUGGAAACGGCUGCUAAUACCGCAUAAGCGCACAGCUUCGCAUGAAGCAGUGUGAAAAGUUUUUCGGUACAAGAUGGACCCGCGUCUGAUUAGCUAGUUGGUGAGGUAACGGCCCACCAAGGCGACGAUCAGUAGCCGACCUGAGAGGGUGACCGGCCACAUUGGGACUGAGACACGGCCCAAACUCCUACGGGAGGCAGCAGUGGGGAAUAUUGCACAAUGGGCGAAAGCCUGAUGCAGCCGACGCCGCGUGAGCGAAGAAGUAUUUCGGUAUGUAAAGCUCUAUCAGCAGGGAAGAUAAUGACGGUACCUGACUAAGAAGCACCGGCUAAAUACGUGCCAGCCGCAGC
rnacentral:rRNA from 1 species